rnacentral:rRNA from 1 species
AGUGAAUGCUGGCGGUAGGCCUAACACAUGCAAGUCGAACGGCAGCACAGGAGAGCUUGCUCUCUGGGUGGCGAGUGGCGGACGGGUGAGGAAUACAUCGGAAUCUACUUUUUCGUGGGGGAUAACGUAGGGAAACUUACGCUAAUACCGCAUACGACCUACGGGUGAAAGCAGGGGAUCUUCGGACCUUGCGCGAUUGAAUGAGCCGAUGUCGGAUUAGCUAGUUGGCGGGGUAAAGGCCCACCAAGGCGACGAUCCGUAGCUGGUCUGAGAGGAUGAUCAGCCACACUGGAACUGAGACACGGUCCAGACUCCUACGGGAGGCAGCAGUGGGGAAUAUUGGACAAUGGGCGCAAGCCUGAUUCAGCCAUACCGCGUGGGUGAAGAAGGCCUUCGGGUUGUAAAGCCCUUUUGUUGGGAAAGAAAUCCAGCUGGCUAAUACCCGGUUGGGAUGGCGGUACCCAAAGAAUAAGCACCGGCUAACUUCGUGCCAGCCGCCGCCGUAA